ACUUAGACAUAAACAGAAUUUUUAAAUAUAAAUUUUAAUGAACGUCAUUCUAAAUUAAAGUGAGAAAAACUACAUUCCCCGGUCUUGAGGCGUCACUGAAGUCCUUUUAUCACUGGAGGAGCAUUGUGGGAUUUGAAGUGUGAUUUGCGUUGCUCAGGACACUCGCGGGCAUUCUGGUGGCAGGAGGACCAGUGGGUGAAAUAUCAGGGCGGAGCUUUCCCCGCUUGGCAGAUGGAUGCCUUGUGAACUUAAAGGCAAAGUAAUCAACUUAACAUAAAUCGCAAGAUGCAAUUUCCCAGGGUCGGACGCCACCAUACGUUCUAGAUUGUAGUAGACAUCUUUUUGACAAUAGUAGGCUAACUGACAAAGCUGAUGAGGUAAAAGUAGGUUAUAUUCUGACAUAUCUCAAAAAGCAUAAAUUAAUAAACCACGAGGCAAGUGCAUUGAUCUGUAACAUAUUUUUCUUAAUCGAUGUCUGUUAGAUUAAAUUUAGCUACCGGUAGCGCGAUGUUGCUUUGUACGCUUCCUGUAACCUGUUGAGACUCAUCUGCAUGCCACGGACCGAGGGUGUGUUCACUCUUCACCAAAGGGAUGGGGGUGAGGGGAGGGGAACUGGAGAGAUACAGAGAAUGAAAGAAAGAGGGAGCUGUAUCUCUCCCUCACACAGGCUACGCACACAAGCUCAGAUGUACAGCAGUAUGUUUGUAACGCAAAACAAAAGUGGCCUGCUCUCCUUCAGAAACUUGCAGUUUUGGUUGCUGCUGGAUGCAUCAUGAGCCGCUGUAGGGACGGGAGUGUCUCUGUACUGAGGAAACUCUUCUCAGGAAGUGGCGUAUGGGUUAGUUACAUGUGCAGUCAACUCUUCAUACACUCCCUCUACUGGUGUCCACUCUGUCACUCUCUUGGUCAGUAUUAUAUGGCUGUUACCUUACAGAAGGCGAGUGAGGGGGGAAUUGAGAGAGUGUUUGUAUAGGCAACAAUUGGUUGAAUUAUGAUGAAAUUAUUUUUUAAGUUAAACAGACUGUUUCUUAAUAAUUUUUGAAUGUAAUUUUUUUUUUUUUUUUUAGAUUGCUUUGACUCCAAUUAUUGUCCCUCAUCAGUUUCAGGUCAAUAUUUGAAAGAUGACUGAAAUGUUAAUGACAUGCUGGUCAUGAACUGCAUUUAAAAAAAGAAAAACAUUUUAUAAUGUUUUCUGAAGUUCACUUAAAAUGUUAAAAAAUUGCCAUAAUUUAGAAAUAAAAGGUCAUUUCUACCCUUAUUUUA